rnacentral:misc_RNA from 1 species
CUCCAGGAAGCACACCGGCAGG